AGUGAACGCUGGCGGUAGGCCUAACACAUGCGAGUCGAACGGCAGCACAGUAGGAGCUUGCUCUUACGGGUGGCGAGUGGCGGACGGGUGAGGAAUACAUCGGAAUCUACUUUUUCGUGGGGGAUAACGUAGGGAAACUUACGCUAAUACCGCAUACGACCUACGGGUGAAAGCAGGGGAUCUUCGGACCUUGCGCGAUUGAAUGAGCCGAUGUCGGAUUAGCUAGUUGGCGGGGUAAAGGCCCACCAAGGCGACGAUCCGUAGCUGGUCUGAGAGGAUGAUCAGCCACACUGGAACUGAGACACGGUCCAGACUCCUACGGGAGGCAGCAGUGGGGAAUAUUGGACAAUGGGCGCAAGCCUGAUCCAGCCAUACCGCGUGGGUGAAGAAGGCCUUCGGGUUGUAAAGCCCUUUUGUUGGGAAAGAAAAGCAGCAGGUUAAUACCCCGCUGUUCUGACGGUACCCAAAGAAUAAGCACCGGCUAACUUCGU
rnacentral:rRNA from 1 species